UACGUAGGGUGCAAGCGUUGUCCGGAAUUAUUGGGCGUAAAGAGCUCGUAGGCGGUCUGUCGCGUCUCUGUGAAAGUCCAGGGCUCAAACCCCUGGGAUGCCGGUGGAUACUGUCGAGCUCGAGUCCGGAAGAGGCGAGUGGAAUUCCUGGUGUAGCGGUGAAAUGCGCAGAUAUCAGGAGGAACACCGAUGCGAAGGCAGCUCGUGGACUGGACGAGCUGAGACGCGAAAGCGUGGGGAGCAAACAGG
rnacentral:rRNA from 1 species